UCAUACAAUAGAGGUGCUCGGGCUGUCGCACGCUCGAAAGGGUCGUGCACGCCGGAGGCCAUCCUCUCGUGUGAAAUCCAUCUCACCCUUUUGUGCACCACCGCGUGGGCCCCCUCCUCGAGGGGGCUCGCGUUUUCACACAAACCCCCUUUGUAAACCUACAUAGAAUGAACCUACUUUUUGCGUUGACACGCGAAUCAAUA
rnacentral:misc_RNA from 1 species